AGAGUUUGAUCCUGGCUCAGAGCGAACGCUGGCGGCAGGCUUAACACAUGCAAGUCGAACGGAUCCUUCGGGAUCAGUGGCGGACGGGUGAGUAACACGUGGGAACGUGCCCUUAGGUUCGGAAUAACUCAGGGAAACUUGAGCUAAUACCGGAUGUGCCCUUUUGGGGAAAGAUUUAUCGCCUUUGGAGCGGCCCGCGUCUGAUUAGCUAGUUGGUGGGGUAAUGGCCUACCAAGGCAACGAUCAGUAGCUGGUCUGAGAGGAUGGCCAGCCACACUGGGACUGAGACACGGCCCAGACUCCUACGGGAGGCAGCAGUGGGGAAUCUUGCGCAAUGGGGGAAACCCUGACGCAGCCAUGCCGCGUGGAUGAUGAAGGUCUUAGGAUUGUAAAAUCCUUUCAGCGGGGACGAUAAUGACGGUACCCGCAGAAGAAGCUCCGGCUAACUUCGUGCCAGCAGCCGCGGUAAUACGAAGGGGGCUAGCGUUGCUCGGAAUUACUGGGCGUAAAGGGCGCGUAGGCGGACAGUUAAGUCGGGGGUGAAAGCYCGGGGCUCAACCUCGGAAUUGCCUUCGAUACUGGCUGUCUUGAGUACGGGAGAGGUGUGUGGAACUCCGAGUGUAGAGGUGAAAUUCGUAGAUAUUCGGAAGAACACCAGUGGCGAAGGCGACACACUGGCCCGUUACUGACGCUGAGGCGCGAAAGCGUAGGGAGCAAACAGGAUUAGAUACCCUGGUAGUCC
rnacentral:rRNA from 1 species